GACGAACGCUGGCGGCGUGCUUAACACAUGCAAGUCGAACGGAAAGGCCCAGCUUGCUGGGUGCUCGAGUGGCGAACGGGUGGGUAACGCGUGGGUGAUCUGCCCCUAACAUCGGGAUAAGCGUGGGAAACUGGGUCGAAUACCGGAUAGGACAAUCGUUUAGUUUCGGUUGUGGAAAGUUUUUUCGGUUAGGGAUGAGCCCGCGGCCUAUCAGCUUGUUGGUGGGGUAAUGGCCUACCAAGGCGUCGACGGGUAACCGGCCUGAGAGGGUGGACGGCCACAUUAGGACUGAGAUACGGCCCAGCCUCCUACGGGAGGCAGCAGUGGAGAAUAUUGCCCAGUGGGCGCAAGCCUGAUGCAGCGACGCCGCGUGGGGGAUGACGGCCUUCGGGUUGUAAACCUCUUUCGACAGGGACGAAGCUUUGGUGACGGUACCUGUAUAAGAAGCACCGGCUAACUACGUG
rnacentral:rRNA from 1 species